UAGGGAAUAUUGGGCAAUGGAUGCAAGUCUGACCCAGCCAUGCCGCGUGCCGGAUGAAGGCCCUCAGGGUUGUAAACGGCUUUUAUUCGGGAAGAAGAUCAGGGAUGCGUCCUUGUGUGACGGUACCGAAUGAAUAAGCACCGGCUAACUCCGUGCCAGCAGCCGCGGUAAUACGGAGGGUGCGAGCGUUGUCCGGAUUUAUUGGGUUUAAAGGGUGCGUAGGUGGCUUUAUAAGUCAGUGGUGAAAUACAGCCGCUCAACGGUUGAGGUGCCAUUGAUACUGUAGAGCUUGAAACAAGUGGAGGCUGCCGGAAUGGAUGGUGUAGCGGUGAAAUGCAUAGAUAUCAUCCAGAACACCGAUUGCGAAGGCAGGUGGCUACGUUUGAUUUGACACUGAGGCACGAAAGCAUGGGGAGCAAACA
rnacentral:rRNA from 1 species